rnacentral:rRNA from 1 species
CAGUAGCCACGGUAAUACGAAGGGGGCUAGCGUUGCUCGGAAUCACUGGGCGUAAAGGGUGCGUAGGCGGGUCUUUAAGUCAGGGGUGAAAUCCUGGAGCUCAACUCCAGAACUGCCUUUGAUACUGAAGAUCUUGAGUUCGGGAGAGGUGAGUGGAACUGCGAGUGUAGAGGUGAAAUUCGUAGAUAUUCGCAAGAACACCAGUGGCGAAGGCGGCUCACUGGCCCGAUACUGACGCUGAGGCACGAAAGCGUGGGGAGCAAACAGGAUUAGAUACCCCAGUAGUCCCUGUCUCUUAUAC